rnacentral:snoRNA from 1 species
ACUCUCCAGACCCCUUGCUGUUAGACCUGAACACUGAUCUGAGUGGUGAUAAAGGAGGAAAAGUGGAGUUGAAAGUGACUUAAAUUCUUUUGGGACACACAAGUUAAUGUCAAGCAAAC